AACGAACGCUGGCGGCAGGCCUAACACAUGCAAGUCGAGCGAGACCUUCGGGUCUAGCGGCGGACGGGUUUGUAACGCGUGGGAACGUGCCCUUCUCUGCGGAAUAGCCACUGGAAACGGUGAGUAAUACCGCAUACGCCCUUCGGGGGAAAGAUUUAUCGGAGAAGGAUCGGCCCGCGUUAGAUUAGAUAGUUGGUGGGUAACGGCCUACCAAGUCUACGAUCUAUAGCUGGUUUUAGAGGAUGAUCAGCAACACUGGGACUGAGACACGGCCCAGACUCCUACGGGAGGCAGCAGUGGGGAAUCUUAGACAAUGGGCGCAAGCCUGAUCUAGCCAUGCCGCGUGUGUGAUGAAGGUCUUAGGAUCGUAAAGCACUUUCGCCAGGGAUGAUAAUGACAGUACCUGGUAAAGAAACCCCGGCUAACUCCGUG
rnacentral:rRNA from 1 species